rnacentral:rRNA from 1 species
ACGAACGCUGGCGGCGUGCUUAACACAUGCAAGUCGAACGGAAAGGCCCUGCUUUUGUGGGGUGCUCGAGUGGCGAACGGGUGAGUAACACGUGAGUAACCUGCCCUUGACUUUGGGAUAACUUCAGGAAACUGGGGCUAAUACCGGAUAGGAGCUCCUGCUGCAUGGUGGGGGUUGGAAAGUUUCGGCGGUUGGGGAUGGACUCGCGGCUCAUCAGCUUGUUGGUGGGGUAGUGGCUUACCAAGGCUUUGACGGGUAGCCGGCCUGAGAGGGUGACCGGCCACAUUGGGACUGAGAUACGGCCCAGACUCCUACGGGAGGCAGCAGUGGGGAAUAUUGCACAAUGGGCGGAAGCCUGAUGCAGCAACGCCGCGUGCGGGAUGACGGCCUUCGGGUUGUAAACCGCUUUCGCCUGUGACGAAGCGUGAGUGACGGUAAUGGGUAAAGAAGCACCGGCUAACUACGUG